rnacentral:rRNA from 1 species
UACAGAGGUCCCAAGCGUUGUUCGGAUUCACUGGGCGUAAAGGGUGCGUAGGCGGUCGGGUAAGUCUGACGUGAAAUCUUCAAGCUCAACUUGGAAACUGCGUCGGAUGCUAUUCGGCUCGAGGAAUGGAGGGGAGACUGGAAUACUUGGUGUAGCAGUGAAAUGCGUAGAUAUCAAGUGGAACACCAGUGGCGAAGGCGAGUCUCUGGACAUUUCCUGACGCUGAGGCACGAAAGCCAGGGGAGCAAACGGG